rnacentral:pre_miRNA from 1 species
CUAAUUCAACCAACUGAUACGGUAUGAAGUUCCGAUCCUUUUAGGUUGGAUUGGAACUUCAUGCCAUAUCAGUUGGUUGAAUUACUUUU